rnacentral:rRNA from 1 species
CAGCAGCCACGGUAAUACGGAGGGAGCUAGCGUUGUUCGGAAUUACUGGGCGUAAAGCGCACGUAGGCGGCUUUGUAAGUUAGAGGUGAAAGCCUGGAGCUCAACUCCAGAACUGCCUUUAAGACUGCAUCGCUUGAAUCCAGGAGAGGUGAGUGGAAUUCCGAGUGUAGAGGUGAAAUUCGUAGAUAUUCGGAAGAACACCAGUGGCGAAGGCGGCUCACUGGACUGGUAUUGACGCUGAGGUGCGAAAGCGUGGGGAGCAAACAGGAUUAGAUACCCGUGUAGUCCCUGUCUCUUAUAC